GAUGAACGCUGGCGGUAUGCUUAACACAUGCAAGUCGAACGGACUCUUCGGAGUUAGUGGCGGACGGGUGAGUAACGCGUGAGAAUCUGGCUUUGGGUUCGGGACAACCACUGGAAACGGUGGCUAAUACCGGAUGUGCCGAGAGGUAAAAGAGAAAUUGCCUGAAGAUGAGCUCGCGUCUGAUUAGCUAGUUGGUGAGGUAAAGGCUCACCAAGGCAGCGAUCAGUAGCUGGUCUGAGAGGAUGACCAGCCCCACUGGGACUGAGACACGGCCCAGACUCCUACGGGAGGCGGCAGUGGGGAAUUUUCCGCAAUGGGCGAAAGCCUGACGGAGCAAUACCGCGUGAGGGAAGAAGGCUCUUGGGUUGUAAACCUCUUUUCUUAGGGAAGAACAAAAUGACGGUACCUAAGGAAUCAGCAUCGGCUAACUCCGUG
rnacentral:rRNA from 1 species